GCGGGGCGCGCGGGGUAGCCUGGGCCAAGGGCGCGCGGGCGCGGGGAGCGGGGGCGGGGCAGGCGCGGACCCUCCCUCCCCAGGACCCGCCAGACGCCCGGGGCCCCCAACGGCCAGCACGGUCCGAAUCGACCCCAAGCUUGACCCGAGGGCAGCGGGGCCUCCGGGAAUGCCUGGCCAGGGCGGUGUCGCCGGGAGUGAAUGGGGGAGGGGGCGGCCGGGGCAGGACCCGGGUCAGGGCCACUCUGGUAGUCUCCUGCCCACCCCUCCCCAAGCCGAGCUCCCGGCCUCCCUCCCUCUCCCCCGUCCAGGGCUGAGGACUGGGGAAGCUGAGUCCCGGGACGGGUAUGGGGGGGUUGGGGCUUGGGAUGCAGCCGGACCUCCGGGAACAGCAGGGGGCCCUGGAGCCACCAGGAGGGAGAAGGCCCCGUCCCUGAGCCAGGCUCGCAGGAUGUUUAUCCCAGGAAAUCCAGAGGAUCAGAACCAGGCAGGACCCGGCACUGGGACGGAGGCAGCUGUCUGCGGGGCGUUUACCGUAGAUACGUAUCACCUGUUCUGAGACAGAGCCUGGGAGGCUGUUUUUAAUCAUCCGGGAGGUGAUUACUAUGCAGCCAGUGUGAUAAACCCUGGUCUGUUUUUGAUCAAUAGCCAUUCCCGUGUCCCUCCUGAAAAUGCCGUAUUCUUCUGCUUAUAAAAUGCAGGUUGUAAAAUGUUUCCCGACGUUACGAGGACAGCUGCUGGAAUAAUGAUGCAGGUAGCUGGCACACACGCAGUGCAAAGGUUUCACCAGACAUGGUCUUCUAUGCCUAUCACCUGGUCAAUACGAGCAGCAGCCACGUUAAGGUGUAAUACACACUGGCGUCAUCUAACGUUCCAUGUGAGGAAACUGAGGCACACAAAGGGCAACUGGCUUGCUCAAGGUCGCGUGAAUGGCAAAGCGUGGAUCUGGGAUUCAAGCCCAGACAAUUGGGCUCCAGAAUUGACUUUAUUAGUCAUGAUCACUCCAGAGAAAACAUCAAGCACUUUUCA
rnacentral:lncRNA from 1 species